AACAAACGCUGGCGGCGUGCCUAAUACAUGCAAGUCGAACGGGGAAAGCUUUCGGGUGAGUACUAGUGGCGCACGGGUGAGGAACGCGUGGAUAAUCUGCCUUAGAGUGGGGGAUAACUAGUCGAAAGAUUAGCUAAUACCGCAUAAGACCACGAGAGCUGCGGCUUUUGAGGUCAAAGGUUUUUCGCUCUAAGAUGAGUCCGCGUAAGAUUAGCUAGUUGGUGAGGUAACGGCUCACCAAGGCGACGAUCUUUAACUGGUCUGAGAGGAUGAUCAGUCACACUGGAACUGAGACACGGUCCAGACUCCUACGGGAGGCAGCAGUAGGGAAUAUUGAACAAUGGAGGAAACUCUGAUGCAGCGACGCCGCGUGAGUGAUGAAGGCCUUCGGGUCGUAAAGCUCUGUCGCAGGGGAAUAACACAAUGAAGGUACCCUGUAAGAAAGGAUCGGCUAACUUCGUG
rnacentral:rRNA from 1 species